GAUGAACGCUAGCUACAGGCUUAACACAUGCAAGUCGAGGGGAAACGACAUCGAAAGCUUGCUUUUGAUGGGCGUCGACCGGCGCACGGGUGAGUAACGCGUAUCCAACCUGCCCACCACUUGGGGAUAACCUUGCGAAAGUAAGACUAAUACCCAAUGACGUCUCUAGAAGACAUCUGAAAGAGAUUAAAGAUUUAUCGGUGAUGGGUGGGGAUGCGUCUGAUUAGCUUGUUGGCGGGGUAACGGCCCACCAAGGCGACGAUCAGUAGGGGUUCUGAGAGGAAGGUCCCCCACAUUGGAACUGAGACACGGUCCAAACUCCUACGGGAGGCAGCAGUGAGGAAUAUUGGUCAAUGGACGAGAGUCUGAACCAGCCAAGUAGCGUGCAGGAUGACGGCCCUAUGGGUUGUAAACUGCUUUUAUAAGGGAAUAAAGUGAGUCUCGUGAGACUUUUUGCAUGUACCUUAUGAAUAAGGACCGGCUAAUUCCGUG
rnacentral:rRNA from 1 species